GUAAAUUUAUCACAAGAACUUAAUGUUUGUUUUUAUUAUUGUAAUUUUAAUUUUUAAACAUUUUUAUAGUUAUAAAUCAUUGAAUUUUGAUUACAUUUGUAAGUUACCAUCUUGUUUGUUUUCAUUUAAUUUGGAUUUAUAGCAUUGGCAUUUAUUUAUGCUAUAUUAACAAUUGUUAUUAUAUAAUUUUGUCAUAUUGAUAAAUUAUUUAUGACAAGCUUUAUAUUAAGGAGUUAUACUUAUAUUAAUUUACUUUAAAUAAUAUUUUAAUUAUUAAACAUAUUACACAUUAUAUAAUAUAAUUGUAUAUUAAGAAGAAAAAAACAAAGGCUGUGAGUCAGAGUAAUUCAAAGUUUUCCUUAUAUUUAACAUGUAUUUAAUAAUAUAUGACUGAUUUGUUUGUCCUCUAAUUUGGUUUGUUUAAUUUAUUAUUUUGUAAUUAAUCAUUUACUGUCUCUUAA